rnacentral:rRNA from 1 species
CGUCAUAGACCGGCAUGGGUAGCCCUCCAUGAUGUUAACGUGCAACCAACGUCAGGCCGUGUUACCUUGAGGAAUGAGGAGUAGUUCGUAUUUGUAGUAAUGGGCUAUGAAUUAUCGGGGUAUAUCAACCAUAUAUUUAUACAUGUUCUGUUGUUAAAAUAGGAGAGCAAAUCCGCCGAAUUUAAGCAUAUAAUUAAGCGGAAGAAAAGAAAAUAACAAUGAUUCCUUUAGUAACGGCGAGUGAACAAGGAAUAGCUCAAGCGGAUAAUCUGUGUGUCUUUUCCUAUUUAAAGGUUUAGCGCAAAGAAUUGUCGUGUAUUAAAAGACUAUAGUAACCUUCUGGUAGCCGUAAAGAUAAGACAUAUGUUACGAAGCGAGGUGGAAUGCCUCCCCCGAAGAGGGUGAAAGGCCCGUAGUAAUCAUAGGGCUUAGUGUUAUCAGAUAACCUCUAUCAGUAAAGAGUCGUGUUCUUUGAGAUUGGAGCACAAAUGCGUGUGAUACAUUUCACAUAAAGCUAAAUAUGUGUAGGAGACCGAUAGCAAACAAGUACCGUGAGGGAAAGAUGAAAUAGUACUCAGGAAUGAGCAAUUAAAAAGUACCUGAAAUCGUUAAGGUGGAACGGAUUAAAAGAGAAAAAAAGUAUUGCAGUCAACAUAAGUUGUUGCAGCGACAGUUUAUGUCUAACUGCUUUAUUAAAAGAAACAUCAGUAAAAGGUUUUAGAUCUAUUCGGAUAAAGACUGUUGCUGAUUAGCAUUUAAUUUUACCUUCGGGAUAAAAUUAAUAGACUUUUCACAUUAUCCUUUUGUUAAAAAAGGAUAAAGGGUUUUUAUAGAAAUCACGAAACAAAAAUAAGUGAUAGAUAGUCCAUUUUACUGAGGUUAACACACAAAUGUGUAUUGCUUUGUAAUUUAUAUUCGCCAAGAAUAUAUUUUACAGCUUCGCGUUUUAAGUUGUUUCUAACGAAUACUCUUUUAACCCACUCGUCUUGAAACACGGACCAAGGAGUCUAGCAAAUGUGCGAGUGUAUAUGAUAUAUUAAACAUUUUCAGUACGUUACGACGUGCUUAUACGCAUAAUUAAUGUAAUAUAUUAUAUUUGUAGAACCAGCUGGAGGUUUCUAACUUCCAGUUGGCGCAUACAAUACCGGUAGGCAAAUACGCCUUAUUGAGUAUGAGCAUAUUUGGUAGGACCCGAGAGGCUUUGAACUAAGCGUGGUGAGAUUGAAGUCAGACGAAAGUCUGAUGGAGGAUCGAAUUGAUACUGACGUGCAAAUCGUUCAUUUCAGUCACGUUUAGGGGCGAAAGACUAAUCGAAAAGCCUAUUAGCUGGUUAUUUUCGAAAGAUCUCUCAGGAUCGCUGGAGUUGAUUAAUAUAAUUUUACCAGGUAGAGAUAAUGAUUAGAGGACUCAGGGAAUUGAAUUUCCUUGACCUAUUCUCAAACUCCCAAUGGGUAAAAAGGGUUUAAAUAGCUUAAUUUCUUUUGUAUUUAGCUCGAUAUAAAUAAAAUAACUCCAAGUGGGCCAUUUUUGGUAAGCAGAACUGGCGAUGAGGGAUGCUCCUAACGUCUGGAUAAGGUGCCUAAAUAUUCGCUCAUCAGAUCCCAUAAAAGGUGUUGGUUCAUUAUGACAGUAGGACGGUGGUCAUGGAAGUCGAAAUCCGCUAAGGAGUGUGUAACAACUUACCUACCGAAUGAACUAGCCCUGAAAAUGGAUGGCGCUAAAGCGAAUUACCGAUACCAGGCCAUAAAAGGAAAGGAAAAAGGGUGGUUUUACCACCUUUUCUUCUUUAUAAAUCUUUUAUGAGUAGAAAAUCGUGGGGUUUUGUGUCGAAGCGAAAUACGUGAGUUUUCGUGGAACAUAUCCCUAGUGCAGAUCUUGGUGGAAGUAGCAACUAUUCAAAUGAGAACUUUGAAGACUGAAGUGGAGAAGGGUUUCUUGUCAACUGUGUUUGUACAAGAGUUAGCCGCUCCUAAGAGACAGCUGAAAAGUGUUUAAGUUAGGGCAAUGUUGUAGGUUUUUUAACAUAUGACAUAAUCCCUGUUCUCAAAAGGGAAACAGGUUUAUAUUCCUGUGCCAAAACAAAUCUAUGGGUUCCUAAAAAUUUAAGAUGGCAACAUAUAGACAAAUGAACCUCUUUACAUAGGUUUUACCAUCGGGGUGCGUUUUCUUUGCACUUUACCUUUAUAGCAUACCUUGGAAUCAAUUUACUUGGAGAAGAGGUAUGUUGAAGUCAAUUCAGAUAUAUUGUUCAUAGGAACUUCGGUUCCUAUUUACAAUUAUCCGUUUUGUAGCAAUAGUAAUUCGUUUUUAUGAAUUAUUCGAUUUGGUAUAAACUAUCCUUGAAAAAAGGGGGGAACGACAAACCAAAGGCGGGAGAGCCGCUACAGACGAACCAGCAAUCGCAAGAUUGUUGGAUCGUUUGUAAACGCUCUUUAGUUUUUGGUAUGUAAAACUCUAAUUUGUUAAAAUGAGCGUACCAACAACCGCAUCAGGUCUCCAA